AACGAACGCUGGCGGCAGGCCUAACACAUGCAAGUCGAGCGAAGUCUUCGGACUUAGCGGCGGACGGGUGAGUAACGCGUGGGAACGUGCCCUUUGGUUCGGAAUAGCCCCGGGAAACUGGGAGUAAUACCGGAUGAGCUCUACGGAGGAAAGAUUUAUCGCCAAAGGAUCGGCCCGCGUUGGAUUAGGUAGGUGGUGGGGUAAUGGCCUACCAAGCCGACGAUCCAUAGCUGGUUUGAGAGGAUGAUCAGCCACACUGGGACUGAGACACGGCCCAGACUCCUACGGGAGGCAGCAGUGGGGAAUCUUAGACAAUGGGGGAAACCCUGAUCUAGCCAUGCCGCGUGAUCGAUGAAGGCCUUAGGGUUGUAAAGAUCUUUCAGUGGGGAAGAUAAUGACUGUACCCACAGAAGAAGCCCCGGCUAACUCCGUGCCAGCCGCCGCCGUAACAC
rnacentral:rRNA from 1 species